AUGAUUGUCUUAAGUUGGAAUUGUCGAGGUUUAAGCAACUUGAUUGCAAUUCCAAAUAUGCAUAAUCUUUCUCAACGGCAUCUUCCCGAUAUUAUUUUCUUGUUUGAGACUCUAGUUACUUCGAGAAGGGUGGAAACAAUUUGUUUAAGCCUGAAAUAUGAUUUGUGCCUUACUAUUGAUGUAGAGGAUAGAAGUGGUGGUCUUGCGGUAUUAUGGUGUAAUAGAAUCAAGUAUAUUGUGAUGAACUACUCGCGGAACUUUGUUCACCUUUUGAUCGAGUGA